rnacentral:rRNA from 1 species
GGCCUAACACAUGCAAGUCGAACGGUAACAGGAAGCAGCUUGCUGCUUUGCUGACGAGUGGCGGACGGGUGAGUAAUGUCUGGGAAACUGCCUGAUGGAGGGGGAUAACUACUGGAAACGGUGGCUAAUACCGCAUAACGUCGCAAGACCAAAGAGGGGGACCUUCGGGCCUCUUGCCAUCAGAUGUGCCCAGAUGGGAUUAGCUUGUUGGUGAGGUAACGGCUCACCAAGGCGACGAUCCCUAGCUGGUCUGAGAGGAUGACCAGCCACACUGGAACUGAGACACGGUCCAGACUCCUACGGGAGGCAGCAGUGGGGAAUAUUGCACAAUGGGCGCAAGCCUGAUGCAGCCAUGCCGCGUGUAUGAAGAAGGCCUUCGGGUUGUAAAGUACUUUCAGCGGGGAGGAAGGUGUUGUGGUUAAUAACCGCAGCAAUUGACGUUACCCGCAGAAGAAGCACCGGCUAACUCCGUGCCAGCAGCCGCGGUAAUACGGAGGGUGCAAGCGU